rnacentral:rRNA from 1 species
GUGGGGGAUAUUGCGCAAUGGGGGCAACCCUGACGCAGCAACGCCGCGUGAAGGAUGAAGGUUUUCGGAUUGUAAACUUCUUUUAUUAAGGACGAAAAAUGACGGUACUUAAUGAAUAAGCUCCGGCUAACUACGUGCCAGCAGCCGCGGUAAUACGUAGGGAGCAAGCGUUGUCCGGAUUUACUGGGUGUAAAGGGUGCGUAGGCGGCUUUGCAAGUCAGAUGUGAAAUCUAUGGGCUCAACCCAUAAACUGCAUUUGAAACUGUAGAGCUUGAGUGAAGUAGAGGCAGGCGGAAUUCCCCGUGUAGCGGUGAAAUGCGUAGAGAUGGGGAGGAACACCAGUGGCGAAGGCGGCCUGCUGGGCUUUAACUGACGCUGAGGCACGAAAGCGUGGGUAGCAAACAGGAUUAGAAACCCGGGUAGUCC